GACGUAGGGGGCCAGCGUUGUUCGGAAUUACUGGGUGUAAAGGGUUCGUAGGCGGUGUGGCAAGUCGGGAGUGAAAUCUCUGGGCUCAACCCAGAGUCUGCUUCCGAAACUGCUGUGCUUGGGUGUGGGAGAGGCGCGUGGAAUUGCAGGUGUAGCGGUGAAAUGCGUAGAUAUCUGCAGGAACACCCGUGGCGAAAGCGGCGCGCUGGACCACUACUGACGCUGAGGAACGAAAGCUAGGGGAGCAAACAGG
rnacentral:rRNA from 1 species